rnacentral:rRNA from 1 species
AGCGAACGCUGGCGGCAGGCCUAACACAUGCAAGUCGAGCGCCGUAGCAAUACGGAGCGGCAGACGGGAGAGUAACACGUGGGAACGUACCCUGUGGUUCGGAACAACCCAGGGAAACUUGGGCUAAUACCGGAUAAGCCCUCACGGGGAAAGAUUCAUCGCCGAAGGAUCGGCCCGCGUCUGAUUAGCUAGUUGGUGGGGUAAUGGCCCACCAAGGCGACGAUCAGUAGCUGGUCUGAGAGGAUGAUCAGCCUCACUGGGACUGAGACACGGCCCAGACUCCUACGGGAGGCAGCAGUGGGGAGUAUUGGACGAGGGGCGCAAGCCUGAUCCAGCCAUGCCGCGUGGGUGAUGAAGGCCCUAGGGUUGUAAAGCCCUUUCGGCGGGGAAGAUAAUGACGGUACCCGCAGAAGAAGCCCCGGCUAACUUCGUGCCAGCCGCCGCAGUAA